rnacentral:rRNA from 1 species
GAUGAACGCUAGCGGCAGGCCUAAUACAUGCAAGUCGAACGGUAUUCAGAUGCUUGCAUUUGAAGAGAGUGGCGCACGGGUGCGUAACGCGUAUGAAACCUACCUUUAACAGGGGGAUAGCCUCUCGAAAGAGAGAUUAAUACCGCAUAAUAUCGGGAGUGGGUAUCCACAUUCGAUUAAAUAUUUAUAGGUUAAAGAUGGUCAUGCGUGACAUUAGCUAGUUGGAGAGGUAAUGGCUCACCAAGGCGACGAUGUCUAGGGGAUCUGAGAGGAUGGCCCCCCACACUGGUACUGAGACACGGACCAGACUCCUACGGGAGGCAGCAGUAAGGAAUAUUGGUCAAUGGACGGAAGUCUGAACCAGCCAUGCCGCGUGCAAGAAGAAGGCCCUACGGGUUGUAAAUUGCUUUUAAUCGAGAAUAACAGUAACUACGUGUAGUUG